rnacentral:rRNA from 1 species
AGCGUUGUUCGGAUUCAUUGGGCGUAAAGGGUGCGUAGGCGGCGCGGUAAGUCGGGUGUGAAAUCUCGGAGCUUAACUCCGAAACUGCAUUCGAUACUGCCGUGCUUGAGGACUGGAGAGGAGACUGGAAUUUACGGUGUAGCGGUGAAAUGCGUAGAUAUCGUAAGGAAGACCAGGGGCGAAGGCGGGUCUCUGGACAGUUCCUGACGCUGAGGCACGAAGGUCAGGGGAGCAAACGGG